UUAAUAAUCCUCUGCCAAAUCUGAGGUCAUAAAAAUUUACUCAAUGUUUUAUUCUAAGAUUUUUAUAGGUUGAUCUCUUGCAUUAAUAUCUUCAUUUAAAUUUAUUUUUUGUAUAUGGUGUGAGUUAAAAUUUUAAAAUCUUUGUUUUCGGGUUUUGCUUAUGGUUAGUCCCAGCAUUAUCUAUUGAAAUUCUGAUUUCACACUGAAUAGUCUUGGCACCCUUGUUGAAAAUCAGUUGACCAUUGAUAUACACAUUUGCUUCCAGAGUCUUAAUCGUAUUCCAUUGAUAUGUCUGUCUCGCCUUAUGUUCAGAACCAAAUUGUCUUGCUGACAGGUGCUUUGUAAUAGUUUUCAACUGUGAGUAAUCCUACCCUAUUCUUUCACAGGAUGGUUUUGGCUCUUCUGUGUCCCAUGCAAUUCCGUAUGAGUUUUAGAAUAAACUUUUCAUUGUGCAUAAAGAAGUCAAAUAUGAUUUUGAUAAAGAUUUUACUGAAUCUGUAGAACAAUUUGAGAAGGACUGUCACCUUUACAUAGCUAAAUCUUACUUCUACACAUGGGAUAUAUUUCCAUUAAUAAAUGGAAACUGUCUUAAAGGUCUUUUAAAAAAUCUUUUCUUUUUAAUGACCACCAAUUUCAUUCAGCAUGUUUUAUAGUUUUUUUCUAAUAUGUUUUGUAUUUUUGUUAAACUUUUUUCUAAGUAUUUGUCUUUAAUGCUGUUGUAAAUUGAAUUGUUUUUAAAAUUAUUUUUAUUUUGUUCACUGCAAAUGCAUAUAAAUAUAAAUGAUUUCUCUAUACUGAACUUACGUGCUGCUACCCUGUUGACCUUAUAAGUCUUCUAAUAGGUUAAACUUUUCUGUAGGAAAAAGUGUAUCCUCUUUAAAUAGAAAUGGUUCCACUUCUUCCUUCUGAAUCUGAAUAUCUUUAUUUCUUCUCUCCUUCUUAACUGUCAUGGCUAAGUGGCCAGAACUCCCAGGACACCGUUGAAGAGAACAGAUGAGAACAGCUGAGAGAGGAUGUGUUUACCAUGCCUUUGCUCUUAAGGGUAGGUAUGAUGCGCCUUUUACUAUUAAGUAUGAGAUGAGCUGUGUUCUUCAUAGAUACCUUUCAUCCACUUGAGAAAGUUCCCUUCUAUUUCUAGUUGUGUUUGGCCACACCAGGGACAUGUGAAAUUUCCCUCGGCCAGGGAUCACACCCACACCACAGCAGAGAUCUGAGUCACAACAGUGACAAUGCUGGGUCCUAACCUUCUGGCCACCAGCGAACUCCUAUUUCUAGUUUCUUGAGAAGGAUGUUGCAUUUUUUCAAAUGCUUUUCCUUCAUUUAGGAAAAUGAUUCACUAUUCUUCUAGUAAAAGAUACAUUACAUUCGUUGUUUUUCAGUUGUUAAACCAACCUGGCAUUUCUGGGACAAGUCCCUCUUAGUCAUAGUGUGUAAUUCUCUAUACACAGCACUAGGUUGAUUUGCUAGUAUUUGUUGAGAAGUUUUGCAUCCAAAUUUAUAACAGAUACUGGCCUGUAGUAUCUCUUACUGUGACUUUUUUUUUGAUACCAAGGUAAAUAAUACCCUCAUAAAAUGAGUUGAGAAGUAUUCCAUCUUACAAAUAUUUUUUAGAAUAGGUUGUAACAGCUGGUAUUAAUUCUUCUCUAAAUAUUUUAUAGAAGUUAGCAGUGAAACCAUUAGGGCCUAGCCCUAUCUCUAUUAAUUAUUAAACACAUAUUUCACUUGUUAAGGUUCUAUUUAAUUGCUACUUCUGAGCUGGUUUCAGGAGAUUAUGCCUUUCUAAGAAUGUGUCCAUUUCACUUGUUAUCUAAUUUGUGGUUUAAAGCUGUUCUUUUUCUCCUUUUUCUUUUUGUCUUUUCUAGGGCCACACCCACAGCGUAUGGAGGUUCCGAGGCUAGGGGUCUAAUCAGAACUACAGCUGCCGGCCUACACCACAGCUCACAGCAACGCCGGAUCCUUAACCCACUGAACAAGGCCAGGGAUCGAACCCACAACCUCAUGGUUCCUAGUCGGAUUUGUUUCCACUGCUCCAUGACGGGAACUCCUCAAGUUGUUCUUAAUUUUCCUUUACAGUGACUUUCUGUAAGAUUAGGAGCAACUAACUCUCCUUACUAUUUCUAGUCAUUUGAGUCUUUCGCUCUCUCUUUUUUCUGGGCCAAUCUAGCUAAAGUUUUCUGGCUUUUAAUUUAAUUGAUUUUUGCUUGUGCGUCGCUACAUUCCAAGAACAGAGGAGGUAGAAGUGAGCCUCCAAUUGCCUGGGUCCAGCUCUUGGGUCAAUCAGUGGUCACAUCCUUUCAAUGACCUCUUCCAAUGCUGUGUUAAGAACACACUGCUGAAUAAAUGUUUCUUCAGAGUUAGUCAAGAGAUCUAAUGCUGUAGUUCUUGCAAUGUUUUUCUGGUCUUGCCUAUUUUAGACUUUCUGCAUUUACACAAAAAUUAUGCAAUUUACUUAUCUAUCAGUUUCCACAACAGAACUUACUAGAAUUAGAAUAGAGUUGUGUUGAGUCAAUUUUACCUUGGAAAGAAUUAUUAAUAACACAGACUUUUGUAAUCAAUGAACAUGGUCUGUUUAUCUAGGUCUACUUGAAAUCUUCUGCAAUGUUUUGAAGUUUUCAGAGUAGAUAUCUUAAAAGUAUUUUAUUUUAUUUUUACAUAUUUUAUGUUUCUAGUUAAUCACUUUGCUUGAUGAAAAUGAUAUUUAAAAUUUAUAUAGACUAUUUUAUCAAGUAGGGAGGAAUUCAGUUUUGUACACUGAUCUUCUACCUGGUCUCCUUUUAUAAAUUAACUGGUUCUUUUUUGUUUUUGUUUUUUUUUCUCUUUAUGGCUGCACCUGCAGCACAUGGAAGUUCCUGGGCCAGAGGUUUAAUCAGAGCUGCAGCUGGGCCCUCCACCACAGUCACAGUAACAACGGAUCUGACUGCAUCUGCAGUCUAUGCUGCAGCAUUCAGCAAUGCUAGCAAUGCUGGAUUCUUAACCCACUGAAUGAGGCCAGGGAUUGAAGGAGCAUCCUCACAGAGACAACGUCAGGUGCUUAACUCACUGUCACUGAGUGACAACAGGAACUCCUAAAUUAACUUGUUCUUAAUGUUUAUAGAUUUCUACAUAAGCAAUCAUAUCGUUUGUGAAUAGUAGCAUUUUUACUUUAUCCUUUUGAAUUUUUAUACCCUUCCUUUCUUUUUUCUUUCUAUAUCACAUGGUCUUAGACAUCUAGUACAACUCUAAACAAAAGUAUUGAUAGGGAUAUCCUGAACUUUACAUGUUGCUGAUGGAAAAUGUCUAUUUUUUUUUCAUUGCCGUACUGUCAACUAUAACAUUUCCAUGUGCCUAUCAAUUUAAGGUAGUAUCUUCUGUCUCUAGUUUACUCAGGGGUUUUGGGACGAAAAGAUGAGGAUUUUAUCUAUUGAGAUGAUCAUGUAGUUUUUCCUCCUUGCCACUGUGAAUUAAAGUCAUGAUUUUUGAAAACCGUGUAUUCUUAGGAUAAAUGCCACUUGGUCAUGAUCUAUUAUCCUUUUUAUAUAUCACUGUAGUCUACUUGCUGUUUUCUAUAUGUCUGUAUCUAUGUUCACAAAGUAGUAACCAUUGGUUACUGUGUCUCAUAAUGUAAUUCUCUGGUUAAGUAUCACACAUGAAACUAGUGGAGAAGUGUUUUAUUCUCUAACAGAGUAUGUAUACAAUGAUUUUGUUAAAUGCUUAAUAUAAAUCACAAGGAGUUCCUGCUGUGACUCAGCAGAAGCGAACCCAACUAAUAUCCAUGAGGAUGCGGCCUUGAUCCCUGGCCUCGCUUAGUGGGUUAAGGAUCCAGCAUUGCUGUGAGCUGUGGUGUAGGUUACAGACGUGGCUCUGAUCCUCUGUCACCGUAGCUGUGGUGGAGCACGGCAGCUGUAGCUCCAAUUCGACCCCUAGCCUGGGAACUUCCAUAUGCCAUAUGUCUACUUAAUAAGUUGUGUUUGUAAAACUGGACAGCUAUAUGCAAAAGAAUGAAAUUAGAACCUUCUCUAACACCAUACACAAAAAUAAACUCAAAAUGGAUUAACGACAUAAAUAUAAGACCAUAUACUAUAAAACUCUUAGAGGAAAACAUAGGCUGAACACUCCUGACAUAAACCACAGCAAUAUCUUCUGAUAUCCACCUCCUAGAGUAAUGACUAUGAAAAAAUAAAUAAAUAAACACAUGGGACCUAAUUAAACUUAAAGUUUUUGCACAGCAACGGAAACCAUAAACAAAACAAAAAGACAACCCACAGAAUUGGAGAAAAUAUUUGCAAAUGAAGAGACUGACAAAGGAUUAAUACCAAAACAAACAAACAAACAAACAACCCCAUCAAAGAAAAACAUGGGCAAAAAAUAAAAAUUUACAUUUCUCCAAAGGAAACAUAAAAGUGGCCAAAAAAGACAUGCAAAAUGCUCAACAUCACUAAUUAUUAGAGAAAUGCAAGUCAAAACUACUGUGAGGUACCACCUUAUACCAGCCAGAAUGGCCAUCAUUAAAAAGGCUACAAAUAAUAAAUGCUAGAAAGGGUGUGGAGAAAAGGGAACCCUCCUACACUGUUGGUGAGAUUGUACAUUGGUGCAACCACUAUGGAAAACAGUAUGGAGGUUCCUCA
rnacentral:lncRNA from 1 species